rnacentral:sRNA from 1 species
CCUAAAACAAUGAAAGCCCUACCUCUCUUCCAUCCUUACGGUUCCGUGACCGCGCCAGUGUGAUUCAGGUUUUUAAAAC